UACGUAGGCAGCGAGCGUUGUUCGGAGUUACUGGGCGUAAAGCGUGCGUAGGCGGUUUUGUAAGUUUGGUGUGAAAUCUCCCGGCUUAACUGGGAGGGUGCGCCGAAAACUGCAAGGCUGGAGUGUGGGAGAGGUAGGCGGAAUUCCUGGUGUAGCGGUGAAAUGCGUAGAUAUCAGGAGGAACACCUGUGGUGUAGACGGCUUACUGGACCAUGACUGACGCUGAGGCACGAAAGCGUGGGGAGCAAACAGG
rnacentral:rRNA from 1 species